rnacentral:rRNA from 1 species
ACGAAGGGGGCUAGCGUUGUUCGGAUUUACUGGGCGUAAAGCGCAUGUAGGCGGGUCGUUAAGUUGGGGGUGAAGUCCCGGAGCUCAACUCCGGAACUGCCUCCAAAACUGGCGACCUGGAGCAAGAUAGAGGCGAGUGGAAUUCCGAGUGUAGAGGUGAAAUUCGUAGAUAUUCGGAGGAACACCAGUGGCGAAGGCGACUCGCUGGAUCUUUGCUGACGCUGAGAUGCGAAAGCGUGGGGAGCAAACAG